rnacentral:rRNA from 1 species
GAUGAACGCUGGCGGCGUGCCUAAUACAUGCAAGUCGAGCGAACAGACGAGGAGCUUGCUCCUCUGACGUUAGCGGCGGACGGGUGAGUAACACGUGGAUAACCUACCUAUAAGACUGGGAUAACUUCGGGAAACCGGAGCUAAUACCGGAUAAUAUAUUGAACCGCAUGGUUCAAUAGUGAAAGACGGUUUUGCUGUCACUUAUAGAUGGAUCCGCGCCGCAUUAGCUAGUUGGUAAGGUAACGGCUUACCAAGGCGACGAUGCGUAGCCGACCUGAGAGGGUGAUCGGCCACACUGGAACUGAGACACGGUCCAGACUCCUACGGGAGGCAGCAGUAGGGAAUCUUCCGCAAUGGGCGAAAGCCUGACGGAGCAACGCCGCGUGAGUGAUGAAGGUCUUCGGAUCGUAAAACUCUGUUAUUAGGGAAGAACAAAUGUGUAAGUAACUAUGCACGUCUUGACGGUACCUAAUCAAAGCCACGGCUAACUACGUG